rnacentral:rRNA from 1 species
UACGUAGGGUGCAAGCGUUAAUCGGAAUUACUGGGCGUAAAGCGUGCGCAGGCGGUUUUGUAAGUUUGUCGUGAAAUCCCCCGGGCUCAACCUGGGAAUGGCGAUGAAGACUGCAAGGCUAGAGUUUGGCAGAGGGGGGGUAGAAUUCCACGUGUAGCAGUGAAAUGCGUAGAUAUGUGGAGGAACACCGAUGGCGAAGGCAGCCCCCCUGGGUCAAAAACUGACGCUCAUGCACGAAAGCGUGGGGAGCAAACAGG